rnacentral:other from 1 species
AAAUUCCUGCGGUGUUCGAGGUGCAACUACAUUUUGAGCCACAACUAUUAUAAGGGAUUGCGGGUCCGCCCGAAGGAUGUCAGGCCUCAUAAUUUCAGUGGAAGACAGAGCUCGGGGGCAGCUUUUUACCCACCCUGCAUAUGCAGGUUUAUAAAUUGGUUGUAUACGGCAUUUGCGGGGUUUUA